AACGGCAGCAAGUCUAUCGCCGGCAGUCACUUACGCGAGUAAUGACGCGGGAGGAAAGUCCGGGCAACACGAGCCACCAUACUUCCUAACGGGAAGGGACCGCCAGGCCAAAGCCUGCGGCCACAGAGAGUGCCACAGAAAGCAAACCGCCGAUCUCCGCAAGGAGAGGUAAGGGUGAAAGCGCGAGGUAAGAGCUCACGACGGCGGGCAGCGAUGCCCUCCGAUGGUAAACCUUAUGGGUUGAAAAACCAAAUAUACCGACAGUUAAGGGCAGGCUCGCCCGUUGUCGGGGGGUAGGUUGAUUGAGACAUGUGGCGACACAUGCCCUAGAUAAAUGAUAGACACGGCCCCCGCGGCCGCACAGAACCCGGCUUAUGCGCUGCCGUCCUUU
rnacentral:RNase_P_RNA from 1 species